GAUCAAAAAGGAAAAUGCAGCCCACCCAGUUUCACCCACAAAAUGCUUAGGUGAUAUUCAAACAGUCGGUCGACAUAUACAAAACAAGCAGGCAGGUUCUGAGAGGUACAAAUCGGGCUGAUGAAAAUGAUGACACACACACGCAUGAGUGUUGAGCUCAGUCCAUUAGAGGAAAGGCCAGAGCUGUGCUGUCUCCAUUCAUAUCUCAACACUGGCUCUCUUGAAGUGGGUUACCAAGAAGAGGGGGGGCACAUCCAGUCCCCUGCAUCCAACAGACAGCACAGAGGUUUGAAUCCCCACCACGGACCGGGACGGGAGCGGGACUCACCUGUGAUGAUCCUCAGGUUGAACAACGAGCUG